rnacentral:rRNA from 1 species
ACAAUAAAUCACAAUGCGGAACUUUUAGUUUUGCAAUUGGAUUGAGAACAAUGUACAAAUGUUAUCGAUAAACAAUUGGAGGGCAAGUCUGGUGCCAGCAGCCGCGGUAAUUCCAGCUCCAAUAGCGUAUAUUAACGUUGUUGCAGUUAAAAAGCUCGUAGUUGAAAUGUGGGAUGAAGUAUAUAAUGAAUUUCUAAUUCAAUUGUAUAUUGAUUCCCCUCUCCAAUUUAUUAUUAUGGGUAUUAAUUUAUUUGUAAUAAGAAUUGGUCAUUUACUGUGAGAAAAUUAGAGUGUUCAAAGCAGGCAUUUGCUUGAAUAGAUUAGCAUGGAAUAAUACUAAAAGGCUUUUAUGGUCGAUUUAAUUGGUUUGUUCAUAAAAGCAAGAUUAAAAGGAACAGUUGGGGGUAUUCAUAUUCAAUAGUUAGAGGUGAAAUUCUCGGAUUUAUGGAAGAUGAACAA